GCCUUCUUAGCUCAGUGGUAGAGCACUGGUCUCGCAAACCAGGGGUCGUGAGUUCCAACCUCACAGAAGGCA
rnacentral:tRNA from 1 species